AAAGUUCACAUUAAAAGUCGUAGAUGAAGUCACAAUAUCAAUGGGCACAAUCUUUAUAGAAGGACAAUUCGAAACAUUAGCAAAGUAACGUCAGUUUCACUUUUUAUAAUAACCCAAGCCUUCUUAUAUAGUCCUAUAGUCCUCUUCACUUGUCUACGACAUUUGCAGAGGCGAACUCAUGCCUUGCCUCGGUGCUAGGUUGACUUUCUUCAAACUUCACACAUCCUGAAUCGAUCAAAGAUUGCACCUUUUGCUUUAGAGCCUUGCAUGCCUCUGUUGAAUGCCCACGCGCUCCUUCAUGAUAAUCACAACUGACCUUUAUAUCAUACUUCUUUGUGUAAGGAGGUCGUAUAGGCCUGGUGGGACAAACCUCUAUGAGGUUAUUGCGGAGAAGAUCUGGCAACAACUCUGUAUAGGUCAUGGGGAUAUGAGUGAAGUUGACGACCUUCUCCUUCCCAUUGUAAUCUCCUCGCUCAGUGGCUCGAUUGGACCCAUAGGAAUGCGACGUCUAGGAAUAGGUAGUAAACUGCGAAUUAGCCUUUUGCUUCCUACUUUCUUCUUGUCCAGGACCAUACUCAUUCAGACUUGCCACCAGAUUUGGAUCUAGUGCAAUUUUUCCACUUCUUAUGCCACCCUCAACCCUUUCUCCAAUUAUUACUAUAUCAGUAAAGCUCGAGGAGACACUGCUUAUCAUGUGCUCAUAAAAUGGUGGCUGUAGAGUAUUCAGAAAUAUGGCUAUCAUCUCCUUGUCACUAAGAGGCGGUUCUACUUGAGCAACAGUUUC
rnacentral:lncRNA from 1 species